GCCCAGAUCUAAGGAAUAGCCACUGGAAACGGUGAGUAAUACCUUAUACGCCCUUCGGGGAAAGAUUUAUCGGAUUUGGAUCGGCCCGCGUUAGAUUAGGUAGUUGGUGGGGUAACGGCCUACCAAGCCUACGAUCUAUAGCUGGUUUUAGAGGAUGAUCAGCAACACUGGGACUGAGACACGGCCCAGACUCCUACGGGAGGCAGCAGUGGGGAAUCUUGGACAAUGGGGGCAACCCUGAUCCAGCCAUGCCGCGUGAGUGAUGAAGGCCUUAGGGUCGUAAAGCUCUUUCGCCUGUGAAGAUAAUGACGGUAGCAGGUAAAGAAACCCCGGCUAACUCCGUGCCAGCAGCCGCGGUAAUACGGAGGGGGUUAGCGUUGUUCGGAAUUACUGGGCGUAAAGCGCACGUAGGCGGACCAGAAAGUUGGGGGUGAAAUCCCGGGGCUCAACCCCGAACUGCCUCCAAAACUAUUGGUCUAGAGUUCGAGAGAGGUGAGUGGAAUUCCAAGUGUAGAGGUGAAAUUCGUAGAUAUUUGGAGGAACACCAGUGGCGAAGGGGCUCACUGGCUCGAUACUGACGCUGAGGUGCGAAAGUGUGGGGAGCAAACAGGAUUAGAUACCCUGGUAGUCCACACCGUAAACGAUGAAUGCCAGUCGUCAGCAAGCAUGCUUGUUGGUGACACACCUAACGGAUUAAGCAUUCCGCCUGGGGAGUACGGUCGCAAGAUUAAAACUCAAAGGAAUUG
rnacentral:rRNA from 1 species